UAAAAAGUGCUGGGUUAUUUUUGUAAACACAUAGCUGGGUUAAUUGUGCUGGGUCAAAAUUCUGGGUUGUUUGAGGUACUGUAAACACACAGUUGGGUUGAUCAUGCUGGGUCAAAUGGACUUUCACCACUGAACACGCGGGUUGGGUUAUUUUAACCCAACCGGUUUGUUUAUUUUUCCACUUCAUCGAACUUUCUGGAUUCUUCACUCGUCUCCUCGUCAGGCGGUCACGAAAUUCGCAGCAAGCAGGAUUAUACGAUAUGUGAGAUUCUUGCUGGUGCAGAUGGACAGCUUUGUAAUAGAGAAGUUGAAGGAAAGGCAGCUUACCCUGGUUAAAACCUUUGAAGAUUUCACAAGACUUCAGGAAACUACAUCCAGAGGAAGACUUUUUGUAGACUGGGCUACAAUUGCAAGAUGGAAAGGUGCAUUAAGAGCUGGGUGACGACUUCAGAUGUUAAAGGGGAGAGUGCUUUCAAAGUCCUGCUCAUUCUGGAGGAAGGGUCCACAGAACCACAACCACAGAAGUCUGGAAGCCAUUCAUUGACAUACAAACCUGUGCAGACCAGCAUGGUGGAUUUGUGCCUUGGGGACGAGACAACGACAUCCCAGACCUUCACCAUUAUUACGGGCCGUGCCACUGAAGCCACUGACUUGUUGCCUGGAAAUUUCUCCAGCUUGCAGUAUAUUUUAUUGAUGGACAUAAGUCUACAUGUGAUUUUUUUUUUUUUUAAGACCAACAGUUUUUUCUGGCCGCUUGUAACAUGUUUUAAAUUGUCAUAUGUAUUGUCUGGUGGACAGUUUGUUUGGCUUAGUUUUAAUAGCACAAUGUUUGGAACGAUUUUCAUGUGGUAAUAAUUAAUUUUUGAGUGUUCU